rnacentral:rRNA from 1 species
CAGUCGCCGCGGGAAUACGAAGGGGGCUAGCGUUGCUCGGAAUUACUGGGCGUAAAGGGAGCGUAGGCGGGUCGUUUAGUCAGAGGUGAAAUCCCGGGGCUCAACCUCGGAACUGCCUUUGAUACUGGCGACCCUGAGUAUGGGAGAGGUGAGUGGAACUCCGAGUGUAGAGGUGAAAUUCGUAGAUAUUCGCAAGAACACCAGUGGCGAAGGCGGCUUACUGGCUCGAAACUGACGCUGAGGCGCGAAAGCGUGGGGAGCAAACAGGAUUAGAUACCCCAGUAGUCCCUGUCUCUUAUAC